GAUGAACGCUGGCGGCGUGCCUAAUACAUGCAAGUCGAGCGAACAGACGAGGAGCUUGCUCCUCUGACGUUAGCGGCGGACGGGUGAGUAACACGUGGAUAACCCACCUAUAAGACUGGGAUAACUUCGGGAAACCGGAGCUAAUACCGGAUAAUAUAUUGAACCGCAUGGUUCAAUAGUGAAAGACGGUUUUGCUGUCACUUAUAGAUGGAUCUGCGCCGCAUUAGCUAGUUGGUAAGGUCACGGCUUAUCAAGGCAACGAUGCGUAGCCGACCUGAGAGGGGGGUAGGCCGCACUGGAACGUGAACGGGGUCCAGGCUCCUGCGGGAGGCAGCAGUAGGGAAUCUUACGCAGUGGGCGAAAACCUUGCGGAGCAACGCCGCGUGAGUGGUGAAAGUCUUCGGAUCGUAAAGCUCUGUUAUUAGGGGAGAACAAAUGUGUAAGUAACUAUGCACGUCUUGACGGUACCUAAUCAGAAAGCCACGGCUAACUACGUG
rnacentral:rRNA from 1 species